rnacentral:rRNA from 1 species
CACGUAGGGCGCAAGCGUUGUCCGGAAUUAUUGGGCGUAAAGAGCGUGUAGGCGGCCCGAUUAGUCCGCUGUGAAAGUCCAGGGCUCAACCCUGGAAUGCCGGUGGAUACUGUCGGGCUAGAGUCCGGAAGGGGAGAGUGGAAUUCCUGGUGUAGCGGUGAAAUGCGCAGAUAUCAGGAAGAACACCCGUGGCUAAGGCGGCUCUCUAGUACGGUACUGACGCUGAGACGCGAAAGCGUGGGGAGCGAACAGG